AGUGGUUCCUAGCAAGAUUGUUGGAAGAGAAGGUUCGACUAUGUUUCAAGAAUCAAGACUCAUUUUUCUAGACGGACUCUAUCCCAGGCUAGAAGAAGUGUGAGCUCCAGAGUCAGCCAGCUGGGUUCAAAUCCCUGCUCUGCCAUUUAUCAGCUACGUCCUCUUUGGAUCCUCGCUUAAGGAAAGGGGAGAAGAGAGCCAGCUAUGCUAUUCUGUAAUGGCUGUGUCGGAGCCUCUCAUUGACAGCGAAGAGAUAAUCAGCUUAAACCUGGGAUCUGGCUCGAUGACCAGGGAGUGACUGUCCACACAGCAUGGUCCUGCCAAGUAGCCCUGAUGCUGCUGGCUGUGCCUGUGGUAUAGGUUACAGAGCCAGAAUACUUCACCCCCCGGAGGUGCCUGCCACCUGCUCCCAUUCUCUGCUGAUGCCCGUCUUUCUUAGAGA